rnacentral:rRNA from 1 species
UGGGGAAUAUUGGACAAUGGGGGCAACCCUGAUCCAGCCAUGCCGCGUGAGUGAUGAAGGCCCUAGGGUUGUAAAGCUCUUUUGUGCGGGAAGAUAAUGACGGUACCGCAAGAAUAAGCCCCGGCUAACUUCGUGCCAGCAGCCGCGGUAAUAUGAAGGGGGCUAGCGUUGCUCGGAAUCACUGGGCGUAAAGGGUGCGUAGGCGGGUCUUUAAGUCAGGGGUGAAAUCCUGGGGCUCAACUCCAGAACUGCCUUUGAUACUGAAGAUCUUGAGUAUGGGAGAGGUGAGUGGAACUGCGAGUGUAGAGGUAAAAUUCAUAGAUAUUCGCAAGAACACCAGUGGCGAAGGCGGCUCACUGGCCCAUACCUGACGCUGAGACACGAAAGCGUGGAGAGCAAACAGG